GGGUCAGGAGGUUGGUCGUGCCACCGGUACGUACUGGUCUCACUGAUUCCUCCUUCCUGAAGAACCGUAAUGCCAUUAAUUUGGCGUUGCGGGGAAACAGGACUGUUACUUUGAAAAAAUUAGAGUGUUUAAAGCAAGCUAACGCUUGAAUACAUUAGCAUGGAAUAAUGAAAUAGGACGAUCGAUCCUAUUUUAUUGGUUUCUAGGAUUGACGUA
rnacentral:rRNA from 1 species